UGGGGGAUAUUGCACAAUGGGCGAAAGCCUGAUGCAGCGACGCCGCGUGGGGGAUGAAGGCCUUCGGGUUGUAAACUUCUUUUGCUCUGAACAAGGCAUGCUAAUGGGUGUGUUGAGUGUAGGGGUUGAUUAGCGCCGGCUAACUACGUGCCAGCAGCCGCGGUAAUACGUAGGGCGCGAGCGUUGUCCGGAAUUAUUGGGCGUAAAGGGCUUGUAGGUGGCUGGUUGCGUCUGUCGUGAAAGCUCAUGGCUUAACUGUGGGUUUGCGGUGGGUACGGGCUGGCUUGAGUGCAGUAGGGGAGGCUGGAAUUCCUGGUGUAGCGGUGGAAUGCGCAGAUAUCAGGAGGAAUACCGGUGGCGAAGGCGGGUCUCUGGGCUGUUACUGACACUGAGGAGCGAAAGCAUGAGGAGCGAACAGG
rnacentral:rRNA from 1 species